UACGGGAGGCAGCAGUGGGGAAUAUUGCACAAUGGGCGAAAGCCUGAUGCAGCUAUGCCGCGUGUAUGAAGAAGGCCUUAGGGUUGUAAAGUACUUUCAUCGGGGAGGAAAAAACAAAACUAAUAAUUUUAUUUCUUGACGUUACCCGAAAAAGAAGCACCGGCUAACUCCGUGCCAGCAGCCGCGGUAAUACGGAGGGUGCUAGCGUUAAUCAGAAUUACUGGGCGUAAAGAGCACGUAGGUGGUUUUUUUAAGUCAGAUGUGAAAUCCCUGGGCUUAACCUAGGAACUGCAUUUUGAAACUGAAAUACUAGAGUAUCGUAGAGGGAGGUAGAAUUCUAGGUGUAGCGGUGAAAUGCGUAGAUAUCUGGAGGAAUACCUGUGGCGAAAGCGGCCUCCUAAACGAAUACUGACACUGAGGGUGCGAAAGCGU
rnacentral:rRNA from 1 species